rnacentral:lncRNA from 1 species
AAAAAUACAAAAAAUUAGCCGGGCGUAGUGACGGGCGCCUGUAGUCCCAGCUACUUGGGAGGCUGAGGCAGGAGAAUGGCGUGAACCCGGGAGGCGGAGCUUGCAGUGAGCCGAGAUCCCGCCACUGCACUCCAGCCUGGGCGACAGAGCGAGACUCCGUCUCAAAAAAAAAAAAAAAAAAAAAAAAAGAUGGAAAGUUCGAUGUGACUGCAGUAUGAGAUUAAAGCCACAACUAUUGUUUAUUUUGGGGACUCUAGGCCACCAAGUAUUAGCACACAUACUUAUGUUUUCUCUACUAAUCUGGUCCAGGUCCUCAUGGACCACAGGACAAAGCUUUCAUUUUCAUUCAUUCUUCUAUUGAAAUUAUACCAAAUUCAGCUGAGGAAUAUGGAAGUAACUUUAGACUUAAACAAGACAAAAGUUUUUUCACUGAAGAAUUGACAAGUAUUUGCUCCUUAAAACAACGCAGAUUAGUGAACGUGGAUUCCUGCUGAGGGAGUGCAUCCCAUAAUAUGGCAAUAAUUUUCAGUUUCUCCAACGAAAAGAUAGUGAAGGAAUUAAAUCUUUUGUCCUCCCAUGGUUAAAAAAAAAAAAAAAGCUGUGUUCAUUUUUACUGUA